rnacentral:lncRNA from 1 species
GCUAGAGCACAAAAUAUCGAAGAUCUUCAUGACUUACGAUGGGGAUGGGUAACAGAAGUUGGAUGAGACAAUACCCAAACAUGAUUCCCAGGUUUACCUAAACUAAACAAUGGAAGACUGUAGAAGAUGCCGUAAAGUUUAGUUCUGUUCUGUCCUUUUGAUGAAUUUACCCCUUUACCAUUGUAAAAUGACUCUAUUACAUCUGUCUCAAAUUUUGAUGCUUUUGGCCAUUAUAUUUUUCAAAUAUUUUUUCUGUCUCUUCCUCUCCUUCAGAGACUGCAAGGACAUAUAUAUU